rnacentral:rRNA from 1 species
AUUGAACGCUGGCGGCAUGCCUUACACAUGCAAGUCGAACGGCAGCACGGGUGCUUGCACCUGGUGGCGAGUGGCGAACGGGUGAGUAAUACAUCGGAACGUACCUUAUCGUGGGGGAUAGCGCAGCGAAAGCUGUGCUAAUACCGCAUACGCCCUGAGGGGGAAAGCGGGGGAUCGCAAAACCUCGCGCGAUUAGAGCGGCCGAUGCCUGAUUAGCUUGUUGGUGGGGUAAAAGCCCACCAAGGCGACGAUCAGUAGCUGGUCUGAGAGGACGAUCAGCCACACUGGGACUGAGACACGGCCCAGACUCCUACGGGAGGCAGCAGUGGGGAAUUUUGGACAAUGGGGGCAACCCUGAUCCAGCAAUGCCGCGUGAGUGAAGAAGGCCUUCGGGCUGUAAAGCUCUUUUGUCAGGGAAGAAACACCGGCUCUAACACAGUCUGGGAAUGACGGUACCUGAAGAAUAAGCACCGGCUAACUACGUGCCAGCCGCCGCCGUAA